GACAUCAUGGUGUAAUGGUCGCACGCACAGCUAAAUUUGGAGCGCUAUGAGAUUCAGGUUCGAGUCCUGAUGAGGUCC